rnacentral:rRNA from 1 species
UACGUAGGGUGCGAGCGUUAAUCGGAAUUACUGGGCGUAAGGCGUGCGCAGGCGGUUCGUUGUGUCGGCGGUGAAAGCCCCGGGCUCAACCUGGGAAUGGCCGUUGAAACUGGCGAACUGGAGUGUGGCAGAGGGGGGUGGAAUUCCGCGUGUAGCAGUGAAAUGCGUAGAUAUGCGGAGGAACACCGAUGGCGAAGGCAAUCCCCUGGGCCUGCACUGACGCUCAUGCACGAAAGCGUGGGGAGCAAACAGG